AUGCCUGGGCAGAAUCAACAAGCUGGGCUAAGCGGAGGAUGGGACAAUGUAGGAGAGAGAGAGAGAGAGAGAGAGAGAGAGAGAGAGAGAGAGAGAGAGAGAGAGAGAGAGAGAGAGAGAGAGAGAGAGGUGUGGAAAAGAUCAUUAAAUCUUUCAGAGAGUGGUGUUAAAAUGUCUAGAAAAGCUACAAGGUUCUGUUGCUGUGGUUUUGUUCUGUAUUUAAGUGGUCCAGUACUGCUAAUUGCACUAUAACAACUAAUUGUUACUAAUGGCAGUCUAGCUCUUAAAGAUAUUACCUCGCCAUCGGAAUCGGGAUUAGUGCCUCACAAGAUGUUCAUUUCUUUAACAAAGAAGAAAGACUUUUUUUUUGUUUUUGAUUCAGAAGAUCAAUCAACAUUGCCUUCUUUCUUUAACUCUUAUCUAAUGAAGAUCUAAGUAAGGUUUGGAUACUACUUAAAGUAUCCAUGCAUUAUUUAUCAAACCCACAAAUGCAGGAUAUCACACAUUUGACUGAAGUAAUCCAUGUGAAAAGGUGUGCUGGGAGGAAGCAAAUGUAGGAGUGUCAUCAAGCUCACACUUAUCAUUGCUUACCUUUGAUCUACUGUAGGCUAACAGCACUUUUCCACACCUCUGCAAAGUAAAAGGCAGAGCCAGAUGUCAUUUCUAGUUCUGUAGGUUGUCAACAUUCGUGCCGAAUAGGGGAUGGUGCUACAUUUGCUUAAUAGAGCUAAAUAUAUCUUACAAACUCGUAGUCCUUACUUUACUCAACAACAUCGACAAACAUACAACACGCAGGACUCCAGUGACACCCAUUACAGGUAAAGUGUCGUUAGAGAGGACGAAAGGCAGUUCCCAGUACUCUAGCACUAAUACAGGCUUUAUUUUUCUUAUUCUAUUUCCUCACUUUCAUGAAUCAACACACCUUGCUGUAGCUGGUCAAAUGGAACCAAGUCAGGUGUUUCUGUGAGGUUUGGUCCCCUUCAACCAGCUACUGCGCUGUGAAUUCAGCCAGCAAUUCAGACCAUUAUCAAAUAAAAACUAGCCAUUUAAAACAAACAAAAAAGUGCCAUUUUUAAAUUACUUACAAAAAAUAAAGAAUACUUAUUAAAAUGCUAUACAUUUUAUUACUAAUGAAACAAUAUCCACUGUUUUCUAUCAGUCAAGUCACUUGUUAUGUACAGUUAUAGCUAAAUAAAAUGCAGAAUGAUGAAUGAA